UUUGACCUCAAAUCAGGUAGGA
rnacentral:rRNA from 5 species